rnacentral:rRNA from 1 species
AGCGAACGCUGGCGGCAGGCCUAACACAUGCAAGUCGAACGAACUCUUCGGAGUUAGUGGCGGACGGGUGAGUAACACGUGGGAACGUGCCUUUUGGUUCGGAAUAACUCAGGGAAACUUGUGCUAAUACCGAAUGUGCCCUUCGGGGGAAAGAUUUAUCGCCAUUAGAGCGGCCCGCGUCUGAUUAGCUAGUUGGUGAGGUAACGGCUCACCAAGGCGACGAUCAGUAGCUGGUCUGAGAGGAUGACCAGCCACACUGGGACUGAGACACGGCCCAGACUCCUACGGGAGGCAGCAGUGGGGAAUCCUGCGCAAUGGGCGAAAGCCUGACGCAGCCAUGCCGCGUGAAUGAUGAAGGUCUUAGGAUUGUAAAAUUCUUUCACCGGGGACGAUAAUGACGGUACCCGGAGAAGAAGCCCCGGCUAACUUCGUG